UUAGGGUUCGAUUCCGGAGAGGGAGCCUGAGAAACGGCUACCACAUCCAAGGAAGGCAGCAGGCGCGCAAAUUACCCAAUCCCGACACGGGGAGGUAGUGACAAUAAAUAACAAUACAGGGCUCUUACGGGUCUUGUAAUUGGAAUGAGUACAAUUUAAAUCCCUUAACGAGGAACAAUUGGAGGGCAAGUCUGGUGCCAGCAGCCGCGGUAAUUCCAGCUCCAAUAGCGUAUAUUAAAGUUGUUGCAGUUAAAAAGCUCGUAGUUGAAUUUCGGGAUUCUACCGUUGGUCGGGCUAACAAGUCUGUACUGGUGUGUAGAAUUUCUACCUUCUGGGGAACUAUCAUGUUAUUAAUUUAGCGUGGUGGGAAACCAGGACCUUUACCUUGAAAAAAUUAGAGUGUUCAAAGCAGGCUUACGUCUGAAUACAUUAGCAUGGAAUAAUAGAAUAGGACGGUGGUCCUGUUUUGUUGGUUUCUGCAAUCACCGUAAUGAUUAAUAGGGAUAGUUGGGGGCAUUAGUAUUCAAUUGUCAGAGGUGAAUUCUUGGAUUUAUUGAAGACUAACUUCUGCGAAAGCAUUUGCCAAGGAUGUUUUCAUUAAUCAGAACGAAAGUUAGGGGAUCGAAGACGAUCAGAUACCGUCGUAGUCUUAACCAUAAACUAUGCCGACUAGGGAUCGGACGAUGUUAAAUUUUAUUGACUCGUUCGGCGCCUUACGCUC
rnacentral:rRNA from 1 species